GAACACCGAGGCCCCGCCCACAACCGUGAGGCCCACUCACAGCUUUAGUUCCUGAAACGCAAGGCACCGCCCACCACCCAGAGGGCCACUCACAGCCUACCUCCAGAAGGCCUUCUCCCGCCUCCAACACAACACAACACAACACAAUACCACCCACCCCACCCCCCACCACACACACGGAAGCUGGUGGCUGCGAGCCUGGAAGCAGCAACCACUGGCUCCGCGCAGACGCACUCCACCUAAUUCACUUUCGUUUUUGCGGCAAACCUCCGGAGGCCCAGAGGAUGCUGAACCUUCUGUGGAGGCAGCUGUAGAGAAGAGGUCCUGGGAAAUGACACAUCAGGAUGGCCCAGGCAGAUGUCGCAGAGCAAGAACACGAAUGCCAUGGACCCAGUCACACCAAGAUCUCGGGGAACAGGGCUCAGGCAGAGGGACAAGCAACUGUAAGGCCUGCGGUGGGAACUGGUCAGGAGGGCUCAAAGAAGCCUGUGCGACUGGCCAGUCUUUAAAAAUGAGAAUUGGGUGGUGGGAGAUGGAGUCAAAGAGGUUGAGUGAGGUCUGUAGGACAAGGGCAAGGAUUCUAUCUAAGCCUAACAGAAAGCCUUAGGAGUAUCUGAAGUGGGACAGUGACAGGGCCUGAUCACCUUGGGAAAGGACUCAGGGAACACCUGAUCCUGAGAUUUCUAGGGUGAGGGUCCAAAGACAUUUUGGUUUGGAUGAAAUGCUUUCAUUUUAAGGCCUAUAGCAGGGCAUCCAUUCGUCUGUAUCCCUAGGCCUCCCCAUUCCCUAUGGUUUUGCUUGACCCCAUUUACAUAUUUGUAUCACACGGUUGGCCACUUCAGUACAUGAGAGUUUGUGACUCCCCAUCUCAUCCAAUUCUAGUUGCACAGAAUAAGACACUAAGGCCCAAGAAGUGAGUGACUUGUCCAAAACAAGAGAAAAGACUCAAACCAUGAUCUUGAUUAGCUAGCUAUCCAGUGCUGGUCACAUCCCAUCUCUCCCUUUCCUUAAGGCCUUGCUGACGGCAGUGAUGGCUUCCUCCUUAUCCAGGUCAAUAGGAAGAAAGAAACGUAGUUCGUGAAAAUUAAUAAAGGGAAAGGGAACCCUUAUAUUGAAAAGAGUCCAGAAGCUCUUAAGGGGUACUCUUAUGCCAGAACUUUCCACGGCCACUUAUUUCACAAUCCUGGGCAAGAGGUUCUUUACUUCCCAGCAACAGCUUAG